AUACGGAGGGUGCAAGCGUUAUCCGGAUUCAUUGGGUUUAAAGGGUCCGCAGGCGGGAAAAUAAGUCAGUGGUGAAAGCCUACAGCUCAACUGUAGAACUGCCAUUGAUACUGUUUUUCUUGAGUAUAGAUGAAGUGGGCGGAAUAUAUCAUGUAGCGGUGAAAUGCAUAGAUAUGAUAUAGAACACCGAUUGCGAAGGCAGCUCACUAAACUAUUACUGACGCUCAGGGACGAAAGCGUGGGGAGCGAACAGGAUUAGAAACCCUUGUAGUCC
rnacentral:rRNA from 1 species